rnacentral:rRNA from 1 species
UACGUAGGGCGCGAGCGUUGUCCGGAUUUAUUGGGCGUAAAGAGCUCGUAGGCGGCUUGUCGCGUCGACUGUGAAAUCCCGCGGCUCAACUGCGGGUCUGCAGCCGAUACGGGCAGGCUAGAGUUCGGUAGGGGAGACUGGAAUUCCUGGUGUAGCGGUGAAAUGCGCAGAUAUCAGGAGGAACACCAAUAGCGAAGGCAGCUGGCUGGGACGUUACUGACACUGAGGCGCGAAAGCGUGGGGAGCGAACAGG